CUGGGAUGAUGCAAAUUAGCCAAAUCAUAUGUGGAUGUGCUCCAUGGGGCAGUUUUUCAUAAGCUUGUACUGGUUCCUAUUUGAGAGGCAUUUUGCCUCUCGUCUAUGGACUUGGUUAGGCUUUUGAUAUUUGCCUUCUGUAGAAGUGCAUCUAUCUGAUGAUAAAACAGAGAUAAGGGUUCUUGCUGACCAGA
rnacentral:snoRNA from 1 species